rnacentral:rRNA from 1 species
AACGAACGCUGGCGGCAGGCCUAACACAUGCAAGUCGAACGCCCUAGCAAUAGGGAGUGGCGCACGGGUGAGUAACGCGUGGGAACGUGCCUUUCAGUCUGGAAUAACAGCGGGAAACUGCUGCUAAUACCGGAUAUUCUCUACGGAGGAAAGAUUUAUCGCUGAAAGAUCGGCCCGCGUAAGAUUAGGUAGUUGGUAGGGUAAUGGCCUACCAAGCCUACGAUCUUUAGCUGGUCUGAGAGGAUGAUCAGCCACACUGGAACUGAGACACGGUCCAGACUCCUACGGGAGGCAGCAGUGGGGAAUAUUGGACAAUGGGCGCAAGCUUGAUCCAGCCAUGCCGCGUGAGUGACGAAGGCCUUAGGGUUGUAAAGCUCUUUUAUCAGGGACGAUGAUGACGGUACCUGAAGAAUAAGACACGGCUAACUUCGUGCCAGCCGCCGCAGUAA